rnacentral:rRNA from 1 species
UACGUAGGUGGCAAGCGUUGUCCGGAAUUAUUGGGCGUAAAGCGCGCGCAGGCGGUCCUUUAAGUCUGAUGUGAAAAGCCCACGGCUCAACCGUGGAGGGUCAUUGGAAACUGGGGGACUUGAGUGCAGAAGAGGAAAGCGGAAUUCCACGUGUAGCGGUGAAAUGCGUAGAGAUGUGGAGGAACACCAGUGGCGAAGGCGGCUUUCUGGUCUGUAACUGACGCUGCGGCGCGAAAGCGUGGGGAGCAAACAGG